CUGCGAGUGAAGCGGGAAGAGCUCAAAUUUGAAAUCUGACAGUUAUCUUUUGCUGUCCGAGUUGUAAUCUGGAGAAGUGUUACCCGUGCUGGACCAUGUACAAGUCUCCUGGAAUGGAGCAUCGUAGAGGGUGAGAAUCCUGUCUUUGACAUGGACUGCCAGUGCUUUUGUGGUGCACUCUCAAAGAGUCGAGUUGUUUGGGAAUGCAGCUCAAAAUUGGUGGCAAAUGCCAUCUAAAGCUAAAUAUUGGCGAGAGACCGAUAGCGAACAAGUACCGUGAGGGAAAGAUGAAAAGAACUUUGCAAAGAGAGUUAAACAGUACGAGAAAUUGCUGAAAGGGAAACGCUUGAAGUCAGUCGCAUUGGUUGGAAAUCAGCCUUGCUUUUGCUUGAUGUACUUUCCAUCUAAUGGGUCAGCAUCAAUUUUGAUUGCUGGAUAAAGGCUUGGGGAAUGUGGCAUCUCUCGAUGUGUUAUAGCCCUUUGUUGUAUACCGCACCUGGGAUUGAGGAACUCAACACGCCGCAAGACCUGGUCUUAUGACCAUGUUCAUGCUUAGGAUGCUGGCAUAAUGGCUUCAAUUGACCCGUCUUGAAACACGGACCAAGGAGUCUAACAUGCAUGCGACUGUUUGGGUGGAAAACCCAUGCGCGUAAUGAAAGUGAAAGGUGAGAUCCCUGUCGUGGGGAGCAUUGACACCCAGACCAGACCUUUUGUGACGGAUCUGUGGUAGAGCAUGCAUGUUGGCACCCGAAAGAUGGUGAACUAUGCCUGAAUAGGGUGAAGCCAGAGGAAACUCUGGCGGAGGCUCGUAGCGAUUCUGACGUGCAAAUCGAUCGUCGAAAU
rnacentral:rRNA from 1 species